rnacentral:rRNA from 1 species
CUACGGGGGGCUGCAGUGGGGAAUAUUGGGCAAUGGGCGCAAGCCUGACCCAGCAACGCCGCGUGAAGGAAGAAGGCUUUCGGGUUGUAAACUUCUUUUAAGAGGGAAGAGCAGAAGACGGUACCUCUUGAAUAAGCCACGGCUAACUACGUGCCAGCAGCCGCGGUAAUACGUAGGUGGCAAGCGUUGUCCGGAUUUACUGGGUGUAAAGGGCGUGCAGCCGGGAAGACAAGUCAGAUGUGAAAUCCCGCGGCUCAACCGCGGAACUGCAUUUGAAACUGUUUUUCUUGAGUACCGGAGAGGUCAUCGGAAUUCCUUGUGUAGCGGUGAAAUGCGUAGAUAUAAGGAAGAACACCAGUGGCGAAGGCGGAUGACUGGACGGCAACUGACGGUGAGGCGCGAAAGCGUGGGGAGCAAACAGGAUUAGAUACCCUAGUAGUCCUA